UCAACAAACAAAAAACCGUAGCUCCUUUUUCGCUAUAAAGACAGCGGCUGCCAAGCAGAAUAGAUAUCCUUCUUCUUCCCUACGCCACUGACAAUCACUGCUGGAGAUUCCGCACUGCCCUUUCAUUCUUCUUCCUUUCUUUAUCAUUAAAAAAAAAAAAAAACUCUUUUGUAUUAAAGACCAUCAUGAAUGGCUAACUUGCUUUCUUUUGUUAGUUGAGAUUUAGUGAACUCCAGGCUCGUUGAAUAUUGGAGAGGCAGCAAGCAACUAACCGAACCUCUCAAAUCUAUAAUUGUUUAAGUGGUUCUGACACCUAGUAACGAUCAGUGUCACAUAAGAAUUUUCAAAGUCCACUUCCCAAGCCUGCAGCACGGAAAUUAUUAUAGUCUUCUCACAUUCUUAAUGAAGAAAUCUGCCUCUUCAAUGAUUGUUGCUAGUUAUCAAUUCUUUCAUACUUUCAAUUGUUAAACACAUAAUGCAUCAAGUCCUGUGUUAGAAAAGAAUGAGAUAUAGCUGUUUGGAGUGUGAAAUUUGACCCACCCUACUCAUGGGAGCCACUCAUUCUAUGGCCUUGAUUAAAAGAUGUACCUCAAACAUUAAUGAGGAGGACUUCAACUUGCACCAAGAUAUUAUGAGACAGCAAGUUGUGGUCAGGUAUGACAAAGUCCUGCAAACUUAAAGGACUCCUUCACAAACAUUUACUUCCUCUCAUAUUGGAUGAUUGUUGUAAACGAAGACAAAAUUUAUAUACUGCUUUAAAUUUGAUUUGACAAGGAGUCUGGUGGUCCACAUUGAGAGAAUUCAAUGUAAUAUUUAUGGGGCUAGAUGACUUUUAUUGUGUUUUCAUAGUUGCAGAAUGUUUUGAGGUCGAGUUGGUUGAAGCUGCCCCACUCCAAUGAAACAAAAGCGUCCAGGAAGUGGAGCAACACGCUUUUCUUAUUCAAGCAAAUAAAAGGUCAUCUCU